AUGCAGAGAUGGAUGCCAGUGGAGGUGUUUUGGCAUGGCUUUGGCGGAGCCUCGUUGCCAAGAGCGCAGGUCAGUGAGGCGUGGAGAGAACAUCCAAACAUGGCUUCUUUCCUCCACAGCCCUGGCAAGGCCAGCACCUCUGUUCUCUGCCCAAGCUACACAUGCUCCACAUUGGGAUCUGGACGCGCGGCCUGUGCGCUAACCGAAAAUCUGAUUUAUUGCCUUAAUGAUGCGAACAUUCAUUGAUGGAGUCAUGUGAAUUAUGGUGAUGCUUCUGUCAGUUGUUUGAACUCUCAUUCUGACGGCACCCAUUCACUCCAGAGGAUCCAUUGGUGAGUAACCAUACAUAAAUAUAAUAAAUGUACAUAUAUUAAAUUUCCUUAUAUUUAAAUUGUAUUUAUAUGAAUUAAAAAAAGAUAUGUGAAACCUAUUAUAUAUAUAUAUAUAUAUAUAUA
ensembl:lncRNA